GACGAACGCUGGCGGCGUGCCUAAUACAUGCAAGUCGAGCGGACGAAUCGAAAGCUUGCUUUUGAUUCGUUAGCGGCGGACGGGUGAGUAACACGUGGGCAACCUGCCCUGUAGACGGGGAUAACACCGAGAAAUCGGUGCUAAUACCGGAUAACACGAAAUGUCGCAUGACGUUUCGUUGAAAGACGGCGCAAGCUGUCGCUACAGGAUGGGCCCGCGGCGCAUUAGCUAGUUGGUGAGGUAACGGCUCACCAAGGCGACGAUGCGUAGCCGACCUGAGAGGGUGAUCGGCCACACUGGGACUGAGACACGGCCCAGACUCCUACGGGAGGCAGCAGUAGGGAAUCUUCCGCAAUGGACGAAAGUCUGACGGAGCAACGCCGCGUGAGCGAAGAAGGCCUUCGGGUCGUAAAGCUCUGUUGUUAGGGAAGAACAAGUAACGCAGUAACUGGCGUUACCGUGACGAUACCUAACGAGAAAGCCACGGCUAACUACGUG
rnacentral:rRNA from 1 species